rfam:Aspergillus parasiticus ST-1 704, whole genome shotgun sequence.
GUCAGUGUGGCCGAGUGGUUAAGGCGAUUGACUCGAAUUUUCAUUCGAUAUCAAUUCCAUUCGUGGGCACAGGUUCGAAUCCUGUCGCUGACG